rnacentral:piRNA from 1 species
UGACAACCCUCCUUGUGUGGAACCU